CCACCUACCUACCCUCCUUCCCACUCCUUCCCUUUCCGCUCCUGAAGUUUUCUCUUCCUCCUCCUGUGGUCCCCGGCCCGGCCACUGCCAACAGGGGUGGUUUCUGCUUUGUUAAUCGGGUUCGGAUCAAGAAGUGGGGCACCUGUUCCAAGAUUCAUUGUUUAUGUGACACUGGCCUGCCCUGACUCAGAUCAGUGGUCUUCCAGUCUGCUGUCCCCCUGAGCAGGACACUGCGGGACACCCAGGGUGUAGCUUCCUGUCAAAAGCACGUUUGACCCUGGACCCAGGGCUGAGGGAACCCUCGGACGGACGUUAUGCAUAUGAUGAAAGGUUCCAAGGGCAGGAACCCUUUUCUGAUGAAACCCCUGAAUGUUCAGCCAAAAUAAAGAGCACCAAUAGCUGAUGGCCAAAGAAUGGAAGAGGUGUGUUCAAGAGAAAUUUCCUGAAAGCAUUUGCAGUCGACCAAUCCAGAAGAGCAUCGAAGUUUGUAGAACCUGAGACCCUAUCAAGAGCCAGUGAUAAAUCAAACAAGAGGACUCUACUCCUAGAGAAUCAGUACUUUCGGUGUGGGCCUGCCUCCCAAUGCUUCUUAGAACAUUGAAGACACGCAGGGACAUUCAACGGGAAAAAGAGAGUCUCUUCAACAAAUGGUGUUGGGAAAAUUGGACAGCCACAUGCAGAAUAAUGAAAUUCGACCAUUUCCUUAUACCACACAUUAAAAUAGACUCAAUGGAUGAAGGACCUCAAUGUGAGAAAGGAAUCCAUCAAAAUCCUUGAGGAGAACAUGGGCAGCAACCUCUUCGACCUCAGCCGCAGCAACUUCUUCCUAGGAACAUCGCCAAAGGCAAGGGAAGCAAGGGCAAAAAUGAACUAUUGGGACUUCAUCAAGAUCAAAAGCAUUUGCACAGCAAAGGAAACAGUUAAUAAAACCAAAAUACCACUGACAGAAUGGGAGAAGAUAUUUGCAAACAACAUUAUCAGAUAAAGGGCUAGUAUCUAAAAUCAAUAAAGAGCUUAGCAAACUCAACACCCAAAGAACAAAUAAUCCAAUCAAGAAAUGGGCAGAGGACAUGAACAGACAUUUCUGCAAAGAGGACAUCCAGAUGGCCAACAGACACAUGAAAAAGUGCUCCACAUCACUACGCAUCAGGGAAAUACAAAUCAAAACCUCAAUGGGAUACCACCUCACACCAGUCAGAAUGGCUAAAAUUAACAAGUCAGGGAAUGACAGAUGCUGGCGAGGAUCUGUAGAAAGGGGAACCCUCCUACACUGUUGGUGGAAAUGCAAGCUGGUGCAACCACUCUGGAAAACAACAUGGAGGUUCCUCAAAAAGUUGAAAAUAGAGCUACCUUAUGACCCAGCAAUCACAUUUACCCUAAAGAUACAAACGUAGUGAUCUGAAGGGGCACAUGCACCCAAAUGUUUAUAGCAGCAAGGUCUACAAUAGCCAAACUAUGGAAAGAACCUAGAUGUCCAUCAACAGAUGAAUGGAAAAAGAAGAUGUGGUAUAUAUACACAAUGGAAUACUAUGCAGCCAUCAAAAGAAAUGAUAUCUUGCCAUUUGCAACAACGUGGAUGAAGUUAGAGGGUAUUAUGCUUAGCAAAAUGAGUCAGAGAAAGACAACUAUCAUAUGAUCUCGCUGAUAUGAGGAAGUGGAGAUGCAAUGGGGAGGGGCUUGGGGGGUAGGAAAGGAAUAAAUGAAACAAGAUGGGAUCAGGAGGGAGACAAACCAUAAGAGACUCUUAAUGUCACAAAACAGACUGAGGGGGACAGGGGGAGAGGGGUACGGAGAGGGUGGUUGGAUUAUGGACAUUGGGGAGGGUAUGUGCUAUGGUGAGUGCUGUGAAGUGUGUAAGCCUAGCGAUUCACAGACCUGUACCCCUAAGGCUAAUAAUAUAUUAUGUUUAUUAAAAAAUUAAUUUUUUUUUUAAAAAGGGGACAUUUGGGGCAACUGGGUGGCUCAGUUGUUAGCCGUCUGCCUUCAGCUCAGGUCAUGAUCCCAGGGUCCUGGGCUCAAGCCUUACAUUGGUCUCUACUCAGUGGGGAGCCUGCUUCUCUCUAUCACUCUCCCCCUGCUUGUGUUCCCUCUCUCACUGUGUCUCUCUUUCUGUCAAAUAAAUAAAAUCUUAAAAAAUAAAAAAGAGGGGGAGACAUUUGAAGACAGACAAGACAUGCAAAUAGGGGAGACAAUGUGAAGAGAUAGGGAGGGGAAAGCCCUUGGCAAGCCUGAGAGAGAGGCCUGGAGCAGACUCUUUACUCACAACCCUUAGAAGGAGCCGAUCCUACGAACCCCUUGGUCUUGGACAUCUAACUUCCAGAAAUGUGAGACAAUAAAUUUCUCUUGUUUAAAACACCCACUUUGGGGCAUUUUGUUAUAGCAGCAGUUGCAAACUAAUACACUUUUCUGUGAUGGAAUAUAUACCUUUACAAUUGUGAUUAUACUAAUUAUUAUAAUGUGUAUUCAUUAAACAUGUGAUGUUAUCACAAUUUAUUUAGCUUUUCCCACACUUGGGGCACUUAGGAUGUUUUCAGUGUUACAAUAUUAUAGUGAGUGCGGAAAUAAUUUACUUUUUAGGAUAAAUUCUUAGGAGUGGGAUUUCUGGGGUCAGGGAAUAUGGAUAUUUUUAUAUCUUGAUGUGCCUUUGUUUUCUUAAAGGGCUACUCUGGUGGUCCAUUCUGAAACAUGGUCCUAGCAAAUCAAAGUCCUGGGUAAUUACCUGUCUCUGUUCUUGGUCUCUCUAGGACUUCACGCACUUGGUAAUGCCCUUUGCCCUCUAGGAGUAUCAUCGUUUCUAUUAUAGUGUUCAGUGAAAAAGUCUGCGAGGUGCUAGCAAACACUAGCAGUUCUCAGAAUCUUAGGACAUCAGUAAUAACAAAAACAGUUUCCUUCAAUGUUUUCAUCUCACUAAAUGUCCAGCAUGUUGCCUUCAAAGGUGACUCAGAGAGAACCCACUGGCCUGCCCAGGAACAGCACCUGCAUCAGCUGAUAAGUGUGGGUCCUGUUGGCUUUCUGCACACUGACGUCAGCAGAAUGCCCUGUCCUGUUCUUAGCACCACCUUGACCAGUAGCACCCAGCUGUGGGUGACUCCCAACUCAGGUUUCACAAUGUCCCUGGGAAGGCAGUUGAGUACAAGAAGCAGCCUGGGACUGGGGAGGGUGAAGCUCUGACUUCAAGAGCUAGUUUCUAAUAAAAUCUGAACACAGACAAAGGGUGUUGCUCACCUUCUGACUUCUCCAUUCAGCAUCAUGUCCUUCUUAGGGGGCUCAUGUUAUCCCCUAUCCCCUAUAUCCGCUACCCCAAAAAAUAUGCUCAGAGUGAAAUUUUACACAGAGGAAUAAAUGAUCUGUGCCUAAUAAUAUCUCUUACCCCCUGACCUGCCAAAAUGGAAGCCCCACCGGAGCUGUUU